UGACCUGCACGAAUGGCGUAACGAUGGCCACGCUGUCUCCACCCAAGGCUCAGUGAAAUUGAAAUUGCUGUGAAGAUGCAGUGUACCCGUGGCAAGACGAGAAGACCCCGUGCACCUUUACUAUAGCUUUACAUUGGAUUUUAUUUAGAUUUGUGUAGCAUAGGUGGGAGGCUUUGAAGUGAGAGCGCUAGCUUUCAUGGAGCCAACAUUGAAAUACCACCCUGAUUUAGAUGACAUCCUAACCAUAAGUGAGUACAAACGGAGGGACAAUGUAUGGUGGGUAGUUUGACUGGG
rnacentral:rRNA from 1 species